rnacentral:rRNA from 1 species
GAUGAACGCUGGCGGCGUGCCUAAUACAUGCAAGUCGAGCGAACGGAUCAGAAGCUUGCGUCUCUGAUGUUAGCGGCGGACGGGUGAGUAACACGUGGAUAACCUACCUAUAAGACUUGGAUAACUUCGGGAAACCGGAGCUAAUACCGGAUGAUAUUUUGAACCGCAUGGUUCCAAAGUGGAAGACGGUCUUGCUGUCACUUAUAGAUGGAUACGCGCUGCAUUAGCUAGUUGGUAAGGUAACGGCUUACCAAGGCAACGAUGCAUAGCCGACCUGAGAGGGUGGUCGGCCACCCUGGCUCUGAGACACGUCCCCGACUCCUACGGUGGGACGCGGCCGGGAAUCCUACGAAAGGGGGCAAAGGGGAACGGAGCAACGCGGACGGAGGUCUGAUGGUGCUCUGCUGCGUAAACUCUGUUAGUAGGAAAGAAGUAAUGUUUAAGUAACAGGGCACAUCUUGACGGUACCUGAACAGAAAGCUCCGGCUAACUCCGUG